rnacentral:rRNA from 1 species
UACAGAGGUCCCAAGCGUUGUUCGGAUUCACUGGGCGUAAAGGGUGCGUAGGUGGCGGGGUAAGUUUGAUGUGAAAUCUCCGGGCUUAACCCGGAAACUGCAUUGUAUACUAUUCUGCUCGAGGUUUGGAGGGGGGACUGGAAUUCUCGGUGUAGCAGUGAAAUGCGUAGAUAUCGAGAGGAACACCAGUGGCGAAGGCGAGUCCCUGGACAACACCUGACACUGAGGCACGAAAGCUAGGGGAGCAAACAGG